GGAGGGGUACCAAAGUGGUCAAAUGGGGCGGACUGUAAAUCCGUUGGCGUUGCCUUCGUAGGUUCGAAUCCUACCCCCUCCACCA
rnacentral:tRNA from 1 species